ensembl:lncRNA
UGGAGGAUGAAGAUGCAGCACUGGUGGCGCUGCGGGGAGGAGGCUCAACCAGGGCGAGUUAGUACGAAGAGGCAUUCCUGUGUUCACGCUUUUGCGCAGCUACUUUGUGAGAUUUGUCAGACGCUGCGAAGAGGAACGUUGGCGCUCAACACCCCCAGAAGAAUGCUACCUAUUCUUAUCUAUUCAUAACUGAGAAGCAACAUGGAGGCGCCUGGUCAAGGUUGAGGAAACGCAGCCACCCCCCCCCUGCACUCACGCACCAGGACAAAACAAAAGAUUCAGCGCAGGACGAUGCGGUCCAGAAAUCAAGGACGUUUGCUCAGAACCCUUCUUCAGGCGUUUGUGUGAAGAGCCGAAGUCGAAUCAAAUCAACACGGAAACACGAGACUCUUCAAACCAGGCUCAGCGUCAAGCUUUCAUCACUGCUCUCCAGUGUGCGCGCUCAGAUGAUCAAUAGACGUGAUUAGGAGUCUGAUUAGCGUUUGUCCUACACGAUCAAGGCUUCAGCCUCAUCUGGUUUUGGACUGCACGCAACACAAAAACGAC